GGUCAGUGAUGUGUUGGCAUGUAUUACCUGAAUUUAUGGCUGAUGUGUAGUAACACUUUAGCUCUAGAAUUACGCUGAGACCUU
ensembl:snoRNA small nucleolar RNA, C/D box 45A